GUACUUACCUGGCACAAGGGUUAAUCAUGAUCAUCAAGGUGAUCCUCCCAAAGUGAGGCCUUUCCAUUGCAAUCCGGUUGAGUUAACCUUUGUGAUCACCUCAAAUGUAGGCAAUGCAGAUGCACUAUUUCUAUAUGUGGGAUCUGCAUUCGCGCUCACCUUUU